AUUGAACGCUGGCGGAAUGCUUUACACAUGCAAGUCGAGCGGCAGCGCGGGGCAACCUGGCGGCGAGCGGCGAACGGGUGAGUAAUACAUCGGAACGUACCCAGUUGUGGGGGAUAGCCCGGCGAAAGCCGGAUUAAUACCGCAUACGACCUGAGGGUGAAAGGGGGGGAUCGCAAGACCUCUCGCAGUUGGAGCGGCCGAUGGCGGAAUAGCUAGUUGGUGAGGUAAAGGCUCACCAAGGAGACGAUCCGUAGCGGGUCUGAGAGGACGACCCGCCACACUGGAACUGAGACACGGUCCAGACUCCUACGGGAGGCAGCAGUGGGGAAUUUUGGACAAUGGGGGCAACCCUGAUCCAGCCAUUCCGCGUGAGUGAAGAAGGCCUUCGGGUUGUAAAGCUCUUUCGGCAGGAACGAAACGGUGGAAGCUAAUAUCUUUUACUAAUGACGGCACCUGAAGAAGAAGCACCGGCUAACUACGUGCCAGCCGCCGCAGUAA
rnacentral:rRNA from 1 species